rnacentral:lncRNA from 1 species
CCGCUGCACCCUCGGGUUUCCUGGGCUCCCUCCCGGCUCGGUCCCAGUUUCGCUUUCGGCUGCGGCUCCGCCGCGGCCCGAGGGGUCCCGGGGGUAAUCCCGGGGGUGCCUCCGGGAGCGCUCGCGGGUCUCGGUGCGCCAUCCCCAGCUCUGCACCGCCAUGGACUUUCUCCCCCCCAGCUCUGCUCUGGUAAGUGGGGACCCCCCUCCUAGAGAUUUGACCUGCGCCCCUCUGGGACCCCCGUGAGAGCCCCUUGGGACUCCCAGAACCCCCCGGUGCCCCCCCCCAGGUGCCGCUGCUGCUCCUUCUGGCCGUGUCCACUCCCAGCAGCUGCUGCUCCUUCGGCUUUAACCCCAUCAGCAGCACCUUCAGCGCCCACCUGAACAACCUGGGAAGGCCCCACCCUCGGUCCCGAAAACCCCCUGACUGCACCCCUUCACCCCCAAAGGGUCGUUGGGGACCACCUGAGCGCCCCCUCAGACCUCUGGGCUGUUUUUGGGGACCCCCUGACCCCUCCCACAGACCCCCUGGCUGCUCCUCGACUACCCUGUGGCGAUGCCCAGCAACCUGGAGCCAGACAGCAGCUGCUCUGACCUCUGGGGCCUUCACUUCGGGGCACUGGCUCUGCAGCGAAUGUUAGGGGUGGCAGGGAAGGAUUUGGCGCCCCUGCUCAGGACCCUCCUUGUCCAGCUCCACUUUGUGUCCGAGUGUCACAUCCAGGACCCCCAGGGCUGUGUCCGGCUGGAGACGGUGAAUGUGUCGCAGCUACUGGAGACCCUGGUGCAGCACCUGGGGAGGCUGCAAGGGAGACCCCCCCACUUCCCUGGCUGUGCCCGCUUGCGCUGCCACCCAGGUACCCCCGCGGGACCCCUGAGAGACCCUCGUAAACUCCCCAGGGCAGCCGCUGACCACUGUCUCCCCCCAGGCCCGACGCUGACCAGCCCAGCAGUGCGGCAUGAGGGGACCUUGGGGGCCAGGCAGGGACCCCCCAGCCCUGCUGGACAUGGGCUGGUGCUGCUGGGGGGAGUUGGGGGGGCCCUGGGCCUGGCAGCAGCAGCCUGGGUGCUGUGGAGGAGACCCUGUGCCCAGGUGGGGACACUGGGGGCACUGA